rnacentral:rRNA from 1 species
AGUGCGAUGGGGAACCCANGUGGCGAGGGCAUACNACCCCUCGCUUUUGNUGACUGAAGGGGGGUCAACAAAUAGGGGCGGGGCAGGCCCGGGGCCAGCCGCCGGGGAAUUACCGGCGGCUCAGGUAUGGUCCAAUAUUUUGGGGCCUAAAGCGUCCGUACCGGGCCAGCCAAUUUCUUCGGGAAAUCCACCUGCCCAACAGGGGGGCGUCCGGCGAAAACUGUCUGGUUUGGAACCGGAAGGCUCAGAGGGUACGUCGAGGGUAGGAGUGAAAUCCCGUAAUCCUCAACGGACCACCGAUGGCGAAAGCACUCUGAGAGGACGGAUUCGACAGUGAGGGACGAAAGCUAGGGUCUCGAACCGGAUUAAAUACCCGGGUAGUCCUAGCUGUAAACAAUGCUCGUUAGGGGUGGCACCCACUACAAGUGGGUGCUGCGCCGUAGGGAACCCCCUAAACGACCCGCCUGGAAAGUACGUCUGCAAGGAUGAAACUUAAAGGAAUUGGGGGGGGAAACCAAAAAAAUUGUC